CAAGUCGUACGUCGCCAGGGGGCAACUCCUGGCGAGUGGCGAACGGGUGAGGAAUACAUCGGAACGUGUCCUCUUGUGGGGGAUAACCAGUCGAAAGAUUGGCUAAUACCGCAUGAGAUCGCGAGAUGAAAGCGGGGGACCUGCAAGGGCCUCGCGCGAGAGGAGCGGCCGAUGUCCGAUUAGCUAGUUGGUGAGGUAACGGCUCACCAAGGCGACGAUCGGUAGCUGGUCUGAGAGGACGACCAGCCACACUGGGACUGAGACACGGCCCAGACUCCUACGGGAGGCAGCAGUGGGGAAUUUUGGACAAUGGGCGCAAGCCUGAUCCAGCCAUGCCGCGUGUGUGAAGAAGGCCUUCGGGUUGUAAAGCACUUUCGGACGGAACGAAAUCGCGCGGGUGAAUAAUCCGCGUGGAUGACGGUACCGUAAGAAGAAGCACCGGCUAACUACGUGCCAGCAGCCGCGGUAAUACGUAGGGUGCGAGCGUUAAUCGGAAUUACUGGGCGUAAAGCGUGCGCAGGCGGCGCCGCAAGUCAGGCGUGAAAUCCCCGGGCUCAACCUGGGAAUGGCGCUUGAAACUACGGUGCUGGAGUGUGGCAGAGGGAGGUGGAAUUCCACGUGUAG
rnacentral:rRNA from 1 species